AGUUUUGUAUGAACUAAUCUUGCCUCACUAAAAAAGACCUACAGCUUGGACAAAAGUCUAUAGCCAGUGCAUUCCUAGCUCCCCUUGCACUAAGGCAGGCUGAGGCAGAGGGGAAGACAUUUUAGUCUUGUGCUCUUCUAGUUGCUAAAGCGCUGGGCUGCCGGGCUGUGGGAGUCAUGAGGCGGCCCUGCUUCACUCGAUAUGGGCUCAUGGGGAGAGAACCAUGGAUGUGCAGGUCUAGGCCCUUAGAGCAGUGAGUGGGAAAGGGGUAGCGAGCAAAACACCAGCGUUCAGCGAGCAGCUUGAACGGUGGCACGCUGAAGUAAGAGCACUGGCUUUUGGAAAAACCUGCGGACUACCGGGCGAGCAAAGAGAGAGAGACAGCCUACCGCUGUGUCGGUCGAGCAGAGAGCGGGAUCUCCGGCGGCUGAAGAGUGGUUCUUGAAUCGGCCAGAUACUGUUCCAUCCUCUUUUCUGCCAAUCAAGCAAAGAUGAGGACAACACCCAAACUGGCACGUAAGUAGCAUUACAGUCGAGAGUGGUCCGGGGACAGUGAAAAGCAGGCUGCGCCUAUAUGCAGUGCACUGCAGUGUGAUAGAGUAUCGCGUUAUGAGCUUCAGUGGUUCGUAGGUUAUUUUCCCAUUGGGUACUCGGACAUAAUUUAAAGCUUGCUCAACACUCGCAAACAUUAGAUUUCAAGUAGAUUUAUAUUAUAAAUAUCCAUCAUGUACGCGUUUAGUGGUUUGUUUUGUUUUUGUAAUGGCUUUGUUUGUUUUG
rnacentral:lncRNA from 1 species